rnacentral:rRNA from 1 species
AUUGAACGCUGGCGGCAUGCCUUACACAUGCAAGUCGAACGGUAACAGGUCUUCGGAUGCUGACGAGUGGCGAACGGGUGAGUAAUACAUCGGAACGUGCCCGAUCGUGGGGGAUAACGAAGCGAAAGCUUUGCUAAUACCGCAUAAGAUCUACGGAUGAAAGCAGGGGACCGCAAGGCCUUGCGCGAACGGAGCGGCCGAUGGCAGAUUAGGUAGUUGGUGGGAUAAAAGCUUACCAAGCCGACGACCUGUAGCUGGUCUGAGAGGACGACCAGCCACACUGGGACUGAGACACGGCCCAGACUCCUACGGGAGGCAGCAGUGGGGAAUUUUGGACAAUGGGCGAAAGCCUGAUCCAGCCAUGCCGCGUGCAGGAUGAAGGCCUUCGGGUUGUAAACUGCUUUUGUACGGAACGAAAAGACUCUGGUUAAUACCUGGGGUCCAUGACGGUACCGUAAGAAUAAGCACCGGCUAACUACGUG